GCCCGCGCCCGGUCCCCGCCCGCCACCUGGGAGGACGGAAGUCGAUGUCGGUCCCUGGUAUCGGUGCGCGCUAAAAGGCGAAGGGUCCCGAUCCGCCUGAACACCGGACGGCCCCACCGUCGGGGUGCCGGCCCGCGAAGGGCCCUUCCCGUCGCGAACGUCAGGGCCACAUCGGUCGGGAGGACGGCGGCCGGCGGGGCGCCGACGCUUGGAGCUCGGGUCCGGCCACCUGGCCUGCGCGGCGGACGUGCCGGGGCUGGCCCACCCCAUGGC